AAUGGAGAAUGGAAACAAAAAUCGGAGCAGCAAAGAACAACAAAGGCCAACAAAGAUGAAGUUUCGAGAUCUGAAAACACAGCGGCGCCAUAAACACAUGAGAUCUGGACUAUACGACAGCGAGAAUUCAUCCGCGGAGGUUGUUUGACGAUGAACACCAGGCAGGGUACGAAGAACAACAACCAACACGCUUAGAUUCGGUAGGCGGAGGCCGCCACGGAGCUCCAAAAUAGACGAUAUUACAACCGGAAAAGGAGUAAAGGCAAGUAAGAGCUCGAUUUGUCCAGGUGUGAGUUAAAGCAUAAGAAAUCUUCGAUGAGGAGCCACAACCGAGUUUGAGCAGAGAAUUGAUCUCUUUAGAUCUGAUCGAAAAUGGAGGCGUGGAGCCAUUGAACCGAGAUAGCAUUGAAAUUUUCAGAAAAGUAUCUAGCACAGGCCUUAGGUGGUUCAACGAUUUGCCCAAAUGCUUUAUCGCCUCUCAUGGUUUAUCGGCUCACCAGCUCAUCGGCUCUUCGCUCCAACAGCUCUUGGAGCGUCCAAUUUUUGAAGUGCCCCUCUGUGAG
rnacentral:lncRNA from 1 species